AUUGAACGCUGGCGGCAGGCCUAACACAUGCAAGUCGAGCGGAUGAAGGGAGCUUGCUCCCGGAUUCAGCGGCGGACGGGUGAGUAAUGCCUAGGAAUCUGCCUGGCAGUGGGGGAUAAUGUCCGGAAACGGGCGCUAAUACUGCAUACGUCCAGAGGGAGAAAGUGGGGGAUCUUCGGACCUCAUGCUAUCAGAUGAGCCUAGGUCGGAUUAGCUAGUUGGUGGGGUAAAGGCCUACCAAGGAGACGAUCCGCAACUGGUCUGAGAGGAUGAUCAGUCACACGGGAGCUGAGACACGGUCCAGACUCCUACGGGAGGCAGCAGUGGGGAAUAUUGGGCAAUGGGCGAGAGCCUGAUCCAGCCAUGCCGCGUGUGUGAAGAAGGUCUUCGGAUUGUGAAGCACUUUAAGUUGGGGGGAAGGGCAGUAAGUUAAGACCUUGCUGUUUUGACGUUACCGACAGAAUAAGCACCGGCUAACUUCGUG
rnacentral:rRNA from 1 species